AUUGAACGCUGGCGGCAGGCCUAACACAUGCAAGUCGAGCGGAUGAAGGGAGCUUGCUCCUGGAUUCAGCGGCGGACGGGUGAGUAAUGCCUAGGAAUCUGCCUGGUAGUGGGGGAUAACGUCCGGAAACGGGCGCUAAUACCGCAUAUGUCCUGAGGGAGAAAGUGGGGGAUCUUCGGACCUCACGCUACCAGAUGAGCCUAGGUCGGAUUAGCUAUUUGGUGGGGUAAAGGCCUACCAAGGCGACGAUCCGUAACUGGUCUGAGAGGAUGAUCAGUCACACUGGAACUGAGACACGGUCCAGACUCCUAAGGGAGGCAGCAGUGGGGAAUAUUGGACAAUGGGCGAAAGCCUGAUCCAGCCAUGCCGCGUGUGUGAAGAAGGUCUUCGGAUUGUAAAGCACUUUAAGUUGGGAGGAAGGGCAGUAAGUUAAUACCUUGCUGUUUUGACGUUACCAACAGAAUAAGCACCGGCUAACUUCGUG
rnacentral:rRNA from 1 species